CAUGGCCACGCUAUAUCCGUGGAAACCGGAAAGCUUCGUUAAUGGCUUCUGCGACGCUCUUGGCUUCGCCAAAAACCACUCCUCAUCCUUCUCCUUUUCUGCAACAGGGCAAGGGCAGAGACGCCGUGUACGUGGCGGCAGUGCCACUGAGAGCGGCCAAGGGCCCCUCCCAGAUGCUCAUGUCUGCAGCUUACUCUCUCGGCCUCUGGGAUCUGCAGCACUUCAUGGUCAUCAUAAAGCCCGACCCUUCUCGCCCUCAGGCAUUUGUUUUCGAUUUUCAACCUCAAGAUCCUGAAAAUGUUUAUACAGCAGUUGCAGCUCUAUCUGGGUGGAAAAUUCCAGGAGUUAUCCGCAGGAGGACAUUGAGAAGGAUACCUAUAAGUAGAUGCUGGUUUGUUGGAUUUUCUAUAAAUGAUGGUGUAGAUUCUGCCAUCAAAUUUAAUGAAGUCUGGUCAACUGAUCUGAUUGUUGGUAAACGCGACUGUCGCCAUUACACCAAUGGAUUGGUUGAACACCUAACUGGAGAACCACAUGCCCUGGAGUGUCUAAGAGAAACUUCCAAUGGCUAAAAUUCCAUCAUUCUGGAUUGUGAUAUACAUAUUGUGGCUGUGCUGAAAUCAAAUCCUCUAACAAAGCACAUUUCUACUCUCUUCAAUUACAAAAAGGUGCCUACUGGCCUAUGAGCUGGGGGAUAGAGAGAGAGAGAGCGCUCCUAUGCUGCCCACCACUCUGGGGAGAUUUUCUGGACCAAACAUUCCGCUGUUGCUCAUCCACUAAGUUGUUUUCUUUCUUUUGACUCUAUUGGCGAUGCUCACACGAGAUUAGUAUGAGUGGCUGGUGUAUCCAAAGAGAGAGAGGAUAGAAGAAAUAGUACUUGAAUUGGUAUUGGGAGGACUAGCUAUCGAUUUUUCAGAAGAAAUUGAUUUUAUUAUUAAAAGUUUGAUGGCCAAGAGUGGUUGAGGAUUGUUUUGUGGGCAUGAGAAAGCUGGUAGGAGAUUCUCAUUCAUCUUUCAAAUGCAACGCCAAGAUAUCAACAAGGACACUGAGAAAUCCAUCCUUGUGAGGAGGGGGUGGUUGGCAAGCUCCUGCAAAGUGAAGAUAAUAUCACUAGGCUGGAGGGUUUUGUUUUUCUUUUCUGCAUCGUUGUUUGAAUGUUUUACAAGACGAGACUCAUCGGUUGCUCGAAGUAUUCCUUAAGCAUGAUUGGCAGAAAAGAUGGACCAAAAUGUCAUAUUCUUUCUGAAAUUUUGUUUUAUUUGCUCAGAGAAUAUAACAUCUUGAUGAUGGUAAGGGAGUUGUAUGGCCUCCCUUACUAUCAAAGUGUCAUAUUUUUUCACCUGGAACAUUUUAUCGGCAUGCUCCUUUACCUUUUAAGCCAAAUACUUUCCUCUCCGGUUCUAG